GACGAACCGUGCGAACGUUAUUCGGAUUCACUGGGCUUAAAGGGCGCGUAGGCGGAUUAGCAAGUCCGGGGUGAAAUCUUUCGGCUCAACCGGAAAAGUGCCUUGGAUACUGCUGAUCUUGAGGGAGGUAGGGGCAUGUGGAACUUCCGGUGGAGCGGUGAAAUGCGUUGAUAUCGGAAGGAACGCCGGUGGCGAAAGCGACGUGCUGGCCCUCUUCUGACGCUGAGGCGCGAAAGCCAGGGGAGCAAACGGG
rnacentral:rRNA from 1 species